rnacentral:rRNA from 1 species
GUCCACGCCGUAAACGAUGAAUACUAGGUGUCGGGGACACGGUCCUCCGUGCCGGAGCAAACGCAAUAAGUAAUCCACCUGGGGAGUACGGCCGCAAGGCUGAAACUCAAAGGAAUUGACGGGGCCCGCACAAGCAGUGGAUUAUGUGGUUUAAUUCGAAGCAACGCGAAGAACCUUACCAGGUCUUGACAUCCGAUGCAUAGCUUAGAGAUAAGUGAAAUCCCUUCGGGGACAUCGAGACAGGUGGUGCAUGGUUGUCGU